rnacentral:tRNA from 1 species
GUAGGCUUGGCCGGAUGGUUUAGCUGUCCGCUUAGUAAGCGGAAGAUCAUGGGUUCGAUUUCCCAUCAGCUCCA